rnacentral:rRNA from 1 species
AUUGAACGCUGGCGGCAUGCCUUACACAUGCAAGUCGAACGGCAGCACGGGUGCUUGCACCUGGUGGCGAGUGGCGAACGGGUGAGUAAUGCAUCGGAACGUACCCGGAAGUGGGGGAUAACGUAGCGAAAGUUACGCUAAUACCGCAUAUUCUGUGAGCAGGAAAGGAGGGGACCUUCGGGCCUUUCGCGAUUGGAUGAACCCAGGUGGGAUUAGCUAGUUGGUGGGGUAAUGGCUCACCAAGGCGACGAUCCCUAGCUGGUCUGAGAGGAUGAUCAGCCACACUGGAACUGAGACACGGUCCAGACUCCUACGGGAGGCAGCAGUGGGGAAUUUUGGACAAUGGACGCAAGUCUGAUCCAGCCAUUCCGCGUGCAGGACGAAGGCCUUCGGGUUGUAAACUGCUUUUGUACGGAACGAAACGGCUCUGGUUAAUACCCGGGGCUAAUGACGGUACCGUAAGAAUAAGCACCGGCUAACUACGUG